AAAUACUCCAUCUCAAACAAAAUAAAGCCGCGUGGCCAAAACCUGUUAACUCCAGCGUCAGCAGAGGCUGAAGCAGGAAGACUGAAAAUUCAAGCCUGAAAGAACUAUAUAGACUGACCAGCCUAAACAACUUGGCUGCCUUUCUGGCCAGUGGAGGAAGGAAGAUUCCAUCACUGGCAGUAUUCUCCCGCAGCUUUAGCGAGAACCGGCUUUCUCGGCUCCGCUGGUAGACGGCGCUGUAGGAUCAUCGACCUCUUGGUCACGGUCAGCCCUGGUUCCGACGACCCUCUCUUUAAUUCUCCGGAAUAGGGACUGAAUACGUCCGAGCAUCGCCAAUUUUUAUGCAAAACUUUUGUGGUCGUGUCAAUCCCCCCGCCGCCACCAUCCAUUUCUGCAAUUCGCGACCAGACCUGAAGCCGCGUUUGGUUCCUAGCAUUCUGGUGGAAGUGACCUCCAGCUAUUCGGGCCUCCAGGGCUAUGCUUGGGAAAUCUUGAUAGAGAUCCAACCCAGCAGCCCGGCAGCCCGUUCUUGUCUCUGUCAGCUAAUUGUUUAGUCGGAUGUUUGUUUAUCCUGGAGUGAAGGGGGGCCGGGUGCGCGGGGGUGGCUGCCCCAAGGGAAGCCUGCUUCCUGUCGUUGGCUUACUCAGCUACCAUCCGCCUACUUAAGUCCUGGAAAGAAUUGCAGAGCUGGGAAGGCCUUGCCGGAUGGUGCCUUCUCCCAACAACAACA
rnacentral:lncRNA from 1 species